GACGAACGCUGGCGGCGUGCUUAACACAUGCAAGUCGUACGGUAAGGCCCUUUCGGGGGUACACGAGUGGCGAACGGGUGAGUAACACGUGAGUAACCUGCCCACAACUUUGGGAUAACGCUAGGAAACUGGUGCUAAUACUGGAUAUGUGCUCCUGCUGCAUGGUGGGGGUUGGAAAGCUCCGGCGGUUGUGGAUGGACUCGCGGCCUAUCAGCUUGUUGGUGGGGUAGUGGCCUACCAAGGCGGCGACGGGUAGCCGGCCUGAGAGGGUGACCGGCCACAUUGGGACUGAGAGACGGCCCAGACUCCUACGGGAGGCAGCAGGGGGGAAUAUUGCACAAUGGGCGCAAGCCUGAUGCAGCAACGCCGCGGGCGGGAUGACGGCCUUCGGGUUGUAAACCGCUUUCAGCAGGGACGAAGCUUUUUGUGACGGUACCUGCAGAAGAAGCACCGGCUAACUACGUG
rnacentral:rRNA from 1 species